UUUUAGUUGAAUGCAUUCAGUUGUGCAACUGACUGACUAGGUAUCCCCCUUUCCUUUUUCUUUUCUAACAACAUCCAGAUGCACAUCCACAUGCCAGUAAAACAAAUCAUAAAUGGCAUUAUCUUCUGAUCUACAUCCACUGAGACUGAACAACUCAACCAGCAUCAUGGAAUAACAUCAUUACCCUCUACUGAAAGCACUCCACCCAAUUAUCGUGGAUUACUGCGUACCAAUUGAAAGUCAUUGAAAGGACGGAAAAUGUGUCUCAGCGUUAGCCUACGUGGGGAACUUAUGUAAGGUAUGGGCGAGUGUAUGGAAAAAGACAUCUGUUUAGAAUCCCGCCUUGUGUUACCGCUGUCUUAAACGUGAAAUAAGACGAGGCAAAUAUUUGGCUCCUUUCCGCCGCCACUGUUAAGGGGCACGCCACUUCUAGGAAUCGUUAUCGCUCUCACGUGAACUCUAGUAACACAGAGCACAAGUGCAACAUCAGAACUGGUGACGAGAAGUCCCCUGCAGCCAGACACUUUAAUGCGGUCAGACAUGUGUGCCAACUGAAGUUCCAGGACGUUCCAAGUUGUACAGCCACAUAAGAGAGGAGGUAAUAGAGAAAAAAUGACUGUUACAGAGAGAGGCAUAUUAUAUCCAUGUCUUACAAAACAGAGAGCCCU
rnacentral:lncRNA from 1 species